GAUGAACGCUGGCGGCGUGCCUAAUACAUGCAAGUCGAGCGAACAGACGAGGAGCUUGCUCCUCUGACGUUAGCGGCGGACGGGUGAGUAACACGUGGAUAACCUACCUAUAAGACUGGGAUAACUUCGGGAAACCGGAGCUAAUACCGGAUAAUAUAUUGAACCGCAUGGUUCAAUAGUGAAAGACGGUUUUGCUGUCACUUAUAGAUUGAUCCGCGCCGCAUUAGCUAGUUGGUAAGGUAACGGCUUACCAAGGCAACGAUGCGUAGCCGACCUGAGAGGGUGAUCGGCCACACUGGACCUGAGACACGGUCCAGACUCCUACGGGAGGCAGCAGUAGGGAAUCUUCCGCAAUGGGCGAAAGCCUGACGGAGCAACGCCGCGUGAGUGAUGAAGGUCUUCGGAUCGUAAAACUCUGUUAUUAGGGAAGAACAAAUGUGUAAGUAACUAUGCACGUCUUGACGGUACCUAAUCAGAAAGCCACGGCUAACUACGUGC
rnacentral:rRNA from 1 species